AGAGAGAGACAUGCGCGCAUAUCAAUAAGCGGAGGAAAAGAAACUAACAAGGAUUCCCCUAGUAACGGCGAGUGAAGCGGGAGGAGCUCAAAUUUGAAAUCUUAAAGGGUUUCCCUUUACGAAUUGUAGUUUAAAGAAGUGUUUUCUGUUGAGGUUUUGGUAAAAGUUCUUUGGAAUAGGACAUCAUAGAGGGUGAGAAUCCCGUAUUUGACCUUUACUUUCAACUUUGUGAUACACUUUCAAAGAGUCGGAUUGUUUGGGAAUGCAGUCCAAAAUGGGUGGUAAAUUUCAUCUAAAGCUAAAUAUUGGCGAGAGACCGAUAGCGAACAAGUACCGUGAGGGAAAGAUGAAAAGAACUUUGAAAAGAGAGUUAAACAGUACGUGAAAUUGUCAAAAGGGAAGCGUUUGACACCAGUGUUGUUUUUCUGAAAAUCAAUUAAAGAACUGUUUAUGCUAAGCUGUUUAGACUUUAUCAGCUAUCUGUUUAGUUUUGAGCUUUUCUUUAAUGCACUUUUCAGUUAACAAGUCAACAUCAAUUUCUUUUGCUGUAAAAAAGCUUGAGGAAGGUGGCUUGAGAUUCGUCUUAAGUGUUUAUAGCCUCUUGCCUAUGCAGUCGGAGAGAUUGAGGUCUGCAGCGUAGAUCCUUCGGGGCUAAAUGCAUUUGUGCUAAGUUAUAGCAUUUUAUAGACAACUUGUUGACUAUGAUUUGUCUUGUAGCUUACUCGCUUAUGUUAUUUUACCUACGCUUAGGAUGUUGACGCAUGAGAUAUACGC
rnacentral:rRNA from 1 species